GACGGAGGGCGCAAGCGUUGUUCGGAAUUACUGGGCGUAAAGGGCUCGCAGGCGGCCAACUAAGUCAGACGUGAAAUCCCUCGGCUUAACCGGGGAACUGCAUCUGAUACUGGAUGGCUUGAGUUCGGGAGAGGGAUGCGGAAUUCCUGGUGUAGCAGUGAAAUGCGUAGAUAUCAGGAGGAAUACCGAUGGCGAAGGCAGGUCUCUGGGCUAUAACUGACGCUCAUGCACGAAAGCGUGGGGAGCAAACAGG
rnacentral:rRNA from 1 species